rnacentral:lncRNA from 10 species
AGAUUCCAGACAUUGUAUGGAAAAGCAUUGUAAAAAUUCCUGUCGUGUUCUAUUGCGUUCUGAUUACCGAUGCAUGCAGCCCCCAGUCACGUACCCCCUGCUUGCUCAUUCGAUCAUGACCCUCUCAUGUGGACCCCCUUAGAGUUGUCAGCCCUUAAAAGGGACAGGAAUUGCUCACUCAGGGAGCUUGGCUCUUGAGACAGGAGUCUCGCCAAUGCUCCCGGCCGAAUAAACCCCUUCCUUCUUUAACUCUGAGGAGUUUUGUCUGUGGCUCAUCCUGCUACAUUUCUUGGUUCCCUGACUGGGAAGCGAGGUGAUUGGUGGAUGGUCGAGGCAGCUCCUUAGGCGACUUAAGCCUGCCCUGUGGAACAUCCCUGCAGCAGACUCCUACCAGCCCAAGUGACGCGGAUCCUGAGAGCGCUCCUUGGUAGGCAUUUGCCCCAGUGGGACACAUCGCCAGAGCAGUGUGUGGCAGGCCUCCAUGGAGGAUCAACACAGAGGCUAAACACUGGGAAGGAACUGGUACUUGGAGUCCGGACAUUUGAAACUUGGAAUCAAGGUUGCUAAGAGACCACCUGUGCUGAAUACACUUUGUUCUGGCAAGAGCAGAAAACUGAGAAGCCGUGUUACCUACCACUACCUGGGAUUAAUUCAGGGAGCGGGAUAAUUCUGGAUAUGACUGGUAAAAACUGGAUAUUAAUUUCUACUACUACUCCCAAAAGUCUAGAAGAUGAAAUUGUGGGAAGACUUCUAAAAAUUUUGUUUGUUAUCUUUGUUGACUUAAUUUCUAUUAUAUAUGUUGUGAUAACUUCUUAGAAAGCUGACUUCCUUUCCAUGUACAUUUCAAACUGAAUUACAGUGAAUAAAAAUUUGUAUUUUAACUUGUUGAGUGACUCACAUUUUAUGACAUUGCCAAUUUAUUCUAGAAGCCAACAGGACACUGCAAUACAAACAACAUUGUGUAUUGUUUAGUUCUUUAUGGUUUAUGAAACAUUCACAUAUACUGAAGUGAAUUUUUUUCCCCAAAAACAUCUAUCCUACUGAGUCAUGAAACUUCUAGAUUUUUAGCCAGGUGUGGUGGCUCACACCUGUAAUCCCAGCACUUUGAGAGGCCCAGGUAGGCGGAUCCCUUGAGUGCAGGAGUUCGAUACGGGCCUGAGCAACCUGAAGAAAUCCCAUCUCUACUAAAAAUAAAAAUUAAAAAAAUUUGACAGGCAUGGUGGUGCAUGCCUGUAUAGUCCCAGAUACUCAUACUCGGGAUGCUGAGGUGGGAGAAUCGCCUGAGUCCAGGAAAUCAAGUUUGCAGUGAGCUGUGAUCACACCACUGCACUCCAGCCUGGGUGAAAGAGAGAGACCCAGUCUCAAAACAAAAACAAACAAACAAACAAACAACUUCUGGAUUUUU